rnacentral:miRNA from 1 species
GUGAGUGAGAGCGAGUUCCAAU